rnacentral:rRNA from 1 species
GUCUAUGGCCAUGCCACCCUGAAUGUGCCUUGAUCUCAUCUGAUCUCGGAAGCUAAGCAGGAGCAGGCCUGGUUAGUACUUGGAUGGGAGACCACCUAGGAAUACUGGGUGCUGUGGGCU